CCCUUAGAUGUUCUGGGCGGCCCGCGCACUACAAUGGCGUGUGCAGCGAGUGCCGAAGUAGAGUUUUCCGAGGUAUUCUUGCGAUGCUCGUUUUGAUGGGGAUAGACCCUUGCAACUGUUGGUUUUGAACGAGGAAUUCCUUGUAAGCAUGGUUUAUCAUCCGACGCUGAAUGCGUCCCUGCCCUUUGUACACACCGCCCGUCGCUCCUACCGAUGAGUCGUCCGGUGAAGUUCGUAGACCUCGUGAUUGCGGAUCACUGGGGGAAGCAAAAUGAACCUCGCGGUUUAGAGGAAGGAGAAGUCGUAACA
rnacentral:rRNA from 1 species